UACGAGGGGAGCAAGCGUUGUUCGGAUUUACUGGGCGUAAAGGGCGCGUAGGCGGGCUGUCAAGUCUGGGGUGAAAUCCCGCGGCUCAACCGUGGAACUGCCUCAGAUACUGACGGUCUCGAGGGAGGUAGGGGCGAGCGGAACUGAUGGUGGAGCGGUGAAAUGCGUUGAUAUCAUCAGGAACUCCGGUGGCGAAGGCGGCUCGCUGGAUCUCUUCUGACGCUGAGGCGCGAAAGCCAGGGGAGGCAAACGGG
rnacentral:rRNA from 1 species